UACAAAAUUCUCCAAGAAGUGUUGUGGUU
rnacentral:piRNA from 1 species